rnacentral:lncRNA from 1 species
GGGGGGGGGGGGGGGGGGGGGGGGGGGGGGGGGGGGGGGGGGGGGGGGGGGGGGGGGGGGGGGCCCGUCCCGGUCCCGUCCCCUCACCCCGUCCCGGUGCCUCCCGGUACCUCCCGGCUCCCCGGUGCGUGCCCCGUGCCUCGUCCCGCUGCUCACCCUCUCUUUAAAAAGAAAGAGAGAAAGAAGAAAGAGAAUAAUUUGGCUUUGUGUUGUUCUAGCUUUAGGAAUCUCUUUAAUAAAUCUGUCAGGACUUUUUUUUUAACAGAUAUCAACUAAAAGCACGAGAAACUGUAAGUAGUGUGCAGCAGUUUUGUCAGGAUCUUUACGAUCUCAGUGCUUGCUGGGUGACUAUUUUUGCAAAUGAGAUUAAACUUCUCAAUUAAACCUCUGUGCCCUGUGGCAAAAAAUACCACGGCAUUAAAAUUCAAUGGAACUGGCAAGGUGCUGCUCUGCUUUUCACCUGUGCUGUGUGCAGACCAUGGGAGAAGGGGAAUGCCGAUGGAGAAUCUGUUCCUCUGGGGAGCAAACAGAGUCACUGCCCCUGCAGAAAGAGAAGUCCGCCUGCAGGGCUGUUCUGGGCUCUGCACAAGUGGGACGCUGUGAUUAUAUUUGUCUCUGUGCUGGCCGUAGAGCCAGGCCCUGCUGCUGAUCCUUUGUUUGCAUUGCUCAUGACAAAAAUGAGCAGAUGUUCAGGGGGAAAUGGAGUUAGAUGGAAAAGGUGAUGGGUUUUAUGUUUCAGGAAAAAUCGCCUGAGACUUUCCCAGAUAAUGCAGAAUGCGACAAAUGUUUGUCCUCCUGAACAGGGUGAGAUGGAGCAGCCACUUCCAGGUGCAGGAGUCCCUCCCCUUCCCUCAGGAGCACCUGCAGCAGAGCAGGACACGGGCACAAAGCCAGGUAUCCCCCAGAGCCUUUGCAACGUCUCUCAGGCUCUGGUUCUCUCCCUCCCUGGCCACUCUUAAUCCAACCAGAGGCACAAUGCUAUGGACUCUAAUCCUGUUGCUUUAUCUUUUUCAUUUUUUUGUGGUGGGGUGGGCUCCAGGGAGAAAAGGACAACCGGGUUCUCACCAUGCAGGGCCGACCUCUGAGCCCCCCAGUGAUCAUGGCAACCAAAGACGGGAAAAGGCGGCUGAGGAACGUGAGAGAAGAAAAACCAAGGGGAAAAAAGCAGAAGAAACAGAACUGGUCAUCUUGGAUCCAGAACAUCCUCUGAUGACCAGAUUCCAGGCUGCCCUGAAGAAUUACCUCACCAAGCAGAUAGAGCAAGUGAACCUAGACCUCCACGAGCUGGUACACAGCCCCUCCCUUGCCCUCCCCGCCGCCCCUCCCGUCCCAGCCGGCGGGACACAGCUCCUUCCCUCCUGUGCGUGCAGAGGGGGGGGGGGGGGGGGGGGGGGGGGGGGGGGGGGGGGGGGGGGGGGGGGGGGGGGGGGGGGGGGGGGGGGGGGGG